UACGGAGGGCGCAAGCGUUAAUCGGAAUCACUGGGCGUAAAGGGCGCGCAGGCGGCUCGUCAAGUGGGAUGUGAAAGCCCUGGGCUCAACCUAGGAAUGGCAUUCCAAACUGGCGGGCUAGAGUCCGGAAGAGGGAGGUGGAAUUCCCCGUGUAGCGGUGAAAUGCGUAGAUAUGGGGAGGAACACCGGUGGCGAAGGCGACCUCCUGGUCCGGCACUGACGCUGAGGCGCGAAAGCGUGGGUAGCGAACGGG
rnacentral:rRNA from 1 species